CAGAGGACCCAAUAUUCUGAUUAUCAUUGUCAAAUGACUACUAUGAUAAUAGUUAAAACUUUCAACAACGGAUCUCUUGGUUCUGGCAUCGAUGAAGAACGCAGCGAAAUGCGAUAAGUAAUGUGAAUUGCAGAAUUCAGUGAAUCAUCGAAUCUUUGAACGCACAUUGCGCCCCUUGGUAUUCCGAGGGGCAUGCCUGUUCGAGCGUCAUUACAACCCUCAAGCAUUGCUUGGUAUUGGGUUCCGCUGCUCACCCAGCGGGCCUUAAAAUCAGUGGCGGCGCCGUCGGGCCCUGAGCGUAGUAAACCUCCUCGCUAUAGGGACCCGGUGGACGCUGGCCAUCAACCCCCUCACUUUCUAAGUUUGACCUCGGAUCAGGUAGGGAUACCCGCUGAACUUAAGCG
rnacentral:rRNA from 1 species